rfam:Equus caballus chromosome 3, whole genome shotgun sequence.
GUGUAGUGUAUCCAACUUCCACAACUCUCUCACUCAAACUCCAAGCUUAAUUUGGCUUGUCUGGCUAAGUGAGUGUCUGUUUUCUCUCUCAUUGCUCCUUGCAUCUCCUUUCUGCAUCUGUGACUUUGUCAAAGGGGAUGUUCUUCCCAGAGGCUGGGGACUUUUCUUCUGCACACAAUAUAUGAGUAGUUGAUCUCCCCUGCAGGAGCCUCCAAACAUAUCCUCGGGCACCAUUUGUGGGAGAAGAUGGAGAGAACUGCCAGAGAGAAGAGAGUCUCGAAUGUUC